rnacentral:rRNA from 1 species
GACGAACGCUGGCGGCGUGCCUAAUACAUGCAAGUAGAACGCUGAAGAGAGGAGCUUGCUCUUCUUGGACGAGUUGCGAACGGGUGAGUAACGCGUAGGUAACCUGCCUGGUAGCGGGGGAUAACUAUUGGAAACGAUAGCUAAUACCGCAUAAAAUUGAUUAUUGCAUGAUAAUUAAUUGAAAGAUGCAAUUGCAUCACUACCAGAUGGACCUGCGUUGUAUUAGCUAGUUGGUGAGGUAACGGCUCACCAAGGCGACGAUACAUAGCCGACCUGAGAGGGUGAUCGGCCACACUGGGACUGAGACACGGCCCAGACUCCUACGGGAGGCAGCAGUAGGGAAUCUUCGGCAAUGGGGGGAACCCUGACCGAGCAACGCCGCGUGAGUGAAGAAGGUUUUCGGAUCGUAAAGCUCUGUUGUAAGAGAAGAACGGGUGUGAGAGUGGAAAGUUCACACUGUGACGGUAUCUUACCAGAAAGGGACGGCUAACUACGUGCCAGCAGCCGCGGUAAUACGUAGGUCCCGAGCGUUGUCCGGAUUUAUUGGGCGUAAAGCGAGCGCAGGCGGUUAGAUAAGUCUGAAGUUAAAGGCUGUGGCUUAACCAUAGUAUGCUUUGGAAACUGUUUAACUUGAGUGCAGAAGGGGAGAGUGGAAUUCCAUGUGUAGCGGUGAAAUGCGUAGAUAUAUGGAGGAACACCGGUGGCGAAAGCGGCUCUCUGGUCUGUAACUGACGCUGAGGCUCGGAAGCGUGGGGAGCAAACAGGAUUAGAUACCCUGGUAGUCCACGCCGUAAACGAUGAGUGCUAGGUGUUAGGCCCUUUCCGGGGCUUAGUGCCGCAGCUAACGCAUUAAGCACUCCGCCUGGGGAGUACGACCGCAAGGUUGAAACUCAAAGGAAUUGGCGGGGGCCCGCACAAGCGGUGGAGCGUGUGGUUUAAUUCGAAGCAACGCGAAGAACCUUACCAGGUCUUGACAUCCCUCUGACCGCUCUAGAGAUAGAGUUUUCCUUCGGGACAGAGGUGACAGGCGGUGCAUGGUUGUCGUCAGCUCGUGUCGUGAGAUGUUGGGUUAAGUCCCGCAACGAGCGCAACCCCUAUUGUUAGUUGCCAUCAUUCAGUUGGGCACUCUAGCGAGACUGCCGGUAAUAAACCGGAGGAAGGUGGGGAUGACGUCAAAUCAUCAUGCCCCUUAUGACCUGGGCUACACACGUGCUACAAUGGCUGGUACAACGAGUCGCAAGCCGGUGACGGCAAGCUAAUCUCUGAAAGCCAGUCUCAGUUCGGAUUGUAGGCUGCAACUCGCCUACAUGAAGUCGGAAUCGCUAGUAAUCGCGGAUCAGCACGCCGCGGUGAAUACGUUCCCGGGCCU